GGUAUUGUCUCUGCUCUAGCAGAUAUAAAACACAAACCAAGAAAUGGAAGGUCUCACAAUGGAUCUGUUAAGACUGUCACAUUUUGAUUUUCUGGUGAAAGAUUUGCCACUGUUGGCCAAAAAAGACUGAAAGAAGUCCACAAACUAUAUAAAGAGAAAGUGCUUUUUGUGGAGACUGAAAAAUUACUAAAGUGUCUGGAAGCUGUAGAAAAAUGAAAACGCAAAGAAGAGCUGGAAGUCAUUGGUCUAAUAGAGAAACAUGGCUACUUAGCCAUAGCCAACUAAUGACUUCAAGUCUAAAGAAACGAGGAAAGCUUUGCAGCAAGGAACGCCUGUGACAGAGUUACUGAGGAAUCUGGAAGUGAUGAUGAGAGCUAAAUUGGUCCUUGAACCAGGAAGUUCUGAAAUAUCUUUAGCAUGUGAAGCAAAGAAAGCAAAGUGUGGGGUAGCGUGCUUGCAAUCCCAAUACUGAGAGGUGGAGAGGGGCGGACCCAUGGGGCUCACUGGCCCGCCAGCCAAGUCUACACACAUGGUGAAUCCCAAGCCAGUAAAAGCCUUUGUCUCAAAAAAUACAUGCAUACAUGCAUACAUACUUGUAAGAAGUUGCAUAGUGCCUGAGGAAUGAUAACGUGCACCCCCACACCAGCCCCACAUGUGCAUGCAUGCGAGCGCUUACGCACAUGAAAACACACACACAAUAAAAAAAAUUAAGACCUCAUACAUAUCUAUUUCAUGUUUUAAUUGCAUUAAAAACUAGUAAAACAGGUCUCGGACUCAGAAUAAAACUGUAGUGGCCCUGGUGGAUAAAUUAUAAAAGUAUUGGACGCUUUUUUGCAAAAACAUUUUAAGAUUGAGCCAGCUAGAAAGCGUCUCUGGCUAUUGACGGCAGAGCCUCUGGGAACCAGAGUUCUGAGACCGCUAGUGCAGUUGCUUUGCUAGAGCACGCGGUAGUCACAUGAACAGAAAAUGAUUCAUUGCCUUUUCAGAUGAACUAGUACCACGUCCUGUCUCGUGACAAGGUGUGACCUUAAAACAGGCUUUAAUGACUAGGAAUCAAAUCCCAGCAGGUGGAACUGAUUUUUUUCUUCCAAUGAUCCAGGACUCAGAAGCCAAACACACGGGUGUUCAUUUUAGUAACUGGUGAGACCUUGGUUGGAGAAGUCUGACACGCUGCUGUUCCGAGGGAAUAUCAGAAGACAGACAUUCCAGCUCAACCAUUUCAGGAACAACACCGAGUGCUGUCACUGUUUCAGAUGCAGAUGAUACAUUCGUGUUGGGUAUGUGUAGCUUUGACACUGGAACUCGUGAUGUAACCUGAACUUUCACA
rnacentral:lncRNA from 1 species